rnacentral:tRNA from 2 species
GCCUCCGUAGCUCAGGGGAUAGAGCACCGCUCUCCUAAAGCGGGUGUCGGCAGUUCGAAUCUGCCCGGAGGCA